CAGAGGCAUAAAGUUGACUGCAGUUUUCCUGAGCUCCAGCUUUUGUUCCUCUGAUGGAAGCACUUGUGGAGCUCGUGUCGUCAUUGUCCCAGCGCCGAGAGUUAAAGACACAGAAGCUGUUUGUGUUAGAGUCGCAGACUGUGUGAGGAGGAGGAGCUGUUCUUCUGAAGAGAGGGACAGACGGGUUUAAGGAGAGUUAACUUCAGACUAACAUCAAGUUAUCUUUAUUUUUACUAAGACUAAAAUAAUGUUUGUUUCUGUAGAUGUUGGAAUUCAGAGACAAGAUAACUUCAUUCUUAUGAGACUGAUAACUCAAACUAACUGGAGUUAAGGGGACAGAAGUCUGCUUGUGUGAGGAGGUGGUUUUCUCAGCAGAAAGAUAAGGCAAGUAGCAGUUUAAGGCAAGUAAACUUCAUAAUGUCA